rnacentral:rRNA from 1 species
UACGGAGGGUGCAAGCGUUAUCCGGAUUUAUUGGGUUUAAAGGGUCCGUAGGCGGAUCCGUAAGUCAGUGGUGAAAUCUCAUAGCUUAACUAUGAAACUGCCAUUGAUACUGCGGGUCUUGAGUGAGAUUGAGGUAGCUGGAAUAAGUAGUGUAGCGGUGAAAUGCAUAGAUAUUACUUAGAACACCAAUUGCGAAGGCAGGUUACCAAGUCUUAACUGACGCUGAGGGACGAAAGCGUGGGGAGCGAACAGG